GACGAACGCUGGCGGCGUGCCUAAUACAUGCAAGUAGAACGCUGAAGGAGGAGCUUGCUUCUCUGGAUGAGUUGCGAACGGGUGAGUAACGCGUAGGUAACCUGCCUGGUAGCGGGGGAUAACUAUUGGAAACGAUAGCUAAUACCGCAUAAUAUUGACUAUUGCAUGAUAGUCAGUUGAAAGGUGCAACUGCACCACUACCAGAAGGACCUGCGUUGUAUUAGCUAGUUGGUGGGGUAACGGCUCACCAAGGCGACGAUACAUAGCCGACCUGAGAGGGGGGUCGGCCACCCUGGGACUGGGACCCGGCCCAGACUCCUACGGGGGGCAGCCGUAGGGGAUCUUCGGCCAUGGACGGAAGUCUUACCGAGCAACGCCGCGUGAGUGAAGAAGGUUUUCGGAUCGUAAAGCUCUGUUGUAAGAGAAGAACGAGUGUGAGAGUGGAAAGCUCACACUGUGACGGUAUCUUACCAGAAAGGGACGGCUAACUACGUG
rnacentral:rRNA from 1 species